GCGGGUAUAGUGUAGUGGUAGCACACCGUCCUCCGAGGGCGGUUUGAGGUCGCCAGCCUCGGCGGGGGUUCGAUUCCCCCUACCCGCG
rnacentral:tRNA from 1 species